UCCCUGCGGUGUUCGUGGAUUUUUAUUGACCCUUUUAAACCCACAUUUUUAAUACGGGACGCCGGACUCUCUAAGUGGAUUGCAGGCCUCCCGGGGCGGCUUUGACCGCACCUGGAAGUUGGAAGCAGCGAAGCUUUGAGGAGGCGACCCACCUGCCAAGUCGUGCAGGUUCUAAUCGGGUCACCACGGCACAUGCGGGGC
rnacentral:other from 1 species